UCUUUUUUUAGGGCUUCUCCUCUCUUUGAAGAGAGGGGAAGAGGAGCCGCUGCCGGCCGAGAGAGAGGAAAAGAGGGAGGGUCUUCUUCGCGUUGCCGGAGAGAAAGAGAGGAAGAGGGAGCCGAGAAGCCACAGCGCGGACGAUCCUUUUCCUCCUCCGUUUGCCGCCGGAAAGAAGCCGCCGGAUCUUCGCCGGGGCUGAGGUUCUGCGAGGAAUUUGUGAAAUUAAUUGGAUUUGUUGUGGAUCGCAUUCAAUAUCCGAAGAAUUAGCUCGAUCCGGGGUUUUACAAUAUGGGAGUGCGAAUAAAAGAAUUAUGGCUCAAGUUAUCUUAGAUUAGGUUUUUAUUUAAUUUAAUGUUCCAUCUUUAUUGUUCCGCUGCGUAUUUAGAAUUGUGAGACUUUAUAAUUUAUGUCUGUCAAUGGAAUAAGAUUGCAUUUAUUUCAGUUGAAUUAAUUUAGAAUUGCAUAAUUGAGGUGUUUUGGUUUAGAUGCCUUGCAUGCUCGUGGGGAGAGUUCCCUACGGGUGUGCGGCGGUUGGCGCGGACCCCCGGCUCGCGAUCUCGGGCCGGGGGCGUGACAACUUUUAUGGUAUCAGAGCAUAAUUGGAUAAAUUAUGAAAUAAGAAAAUCUGACAUGACAUGAGUGUAGGUGGGUAGACACUAGGGACAUUGGGACGUUAGUUUAUGAUGACUGUAACAACCAUUCCAUGUACUUGUAAUGAACUGGUAAGCUUAUUAUUGGCAUGCUGCUAUCUGAUAGACAUAGGUCAGUAUGCCUCCACGUCGGACGAGAAAAAAACUACUCGCAGAGCUACUAAUAAGGCACCCAACCCGCAAAAUGACAGCACAUCCCAACAAGUUGGUAACACCCCUCAGCAGGAGAGAGUCGUCAAUCCUGCUAGUGAUACUCAGACAGAACGACAAGAACCGGGCCUAGGCCAGGUUAUGCAAACCAUAGUGGGCCUUAUGCAGAUGCAACAGCAGUUGCCCCAGACAAGACGACUUUGAUUUGAAGAGUGUUAUGACUUAGUUUGGAAGAAGUAUAAUCUACUCUUGAACUACAUGUACGAAAAUUUCGUGGACGAAAUUUCUUUUAAGGGGUGGAGGAUGUGAGAUCCCGAAACUGGGCCCGGCCCAUUGACCGGCCCAGCCCAAAUUUUUGGCCUCACGUGCGUCGCACGUGAGGGCGUGUGAGAAGGGGGGGAGCCAUCCCGAAGAAGCCGGCUCCCCCAUUCUUUUUUUAGGGCUUCUCCUCUCUUUGAAGAGAGGGGAAGAGGAGCCGCUGCCGGCCGAGAGAGAGGAAAAGAGGGAGGGUCUUCUUCGCGUUGCCGGAGAGAAAGAGAGGAAGAGGGAGCCGAGAAGCCACAGCGCGGACGAUCCUUUUCCUCCUCCGUUUGCCGCCGGAAAGAAGCCGCCGGAUCUUCGCCGGGGCUGAGGUAAGAUUUCUAGCUUCACCUCUUGGUUAUACCAUUUGAAAAGAAGAAGAAGAAGAGAGAAGGAAAAGGAGGGGGAGGCACCCGUGGCAAUCGGCUUGCCUUCGGCCACAGGCGCCGCCGGCCCUCAGUGACGGCCACUUUGAGGACCGGAGAGCACCACUUUCCCUUGUUCCUCUUCUCUGUUCAGUGAAAACAGAGAAGGAAUAGUGGAAGGAGAAAGAGAGAAAGAAAGAAAGAAAGAAAGGAGAAGAGAGGGAAGAAGGAGAAGGUGUGGGUUUCUCCCAUGCCCAUACCUCCUCCACGGGAAGAAGGAGAGAGCCGGCCGCUGUGGCCGCCGCCGGCCUUGACUUGGCCACUCCCGAGCUCGCCAACCUCCCUUCGCGGGAGAAGAAAGAAGAAGAAAGAAAGGGGGGAGGAGAAGAAGUCGGGAGAAGAGGAAGAGGAGAAAGAAAAAGAAAGAAGAAAAGAAAGGGGGAAGGAAGAAGGAAGUCGGGAGAAGAUUCCAGAGAAGAAGAGAAGAGAAGAAAAGAAAAAAAAAAAAAAAAAGAAAAGGGGAGGGAAGGAAAGAAAAGAAAAAGAAAAGAAAGAAAAAGAAAAGAAAUAAAGAAACAAAAAAUAAAUAAAUAAAUAAAUAAAGGGAGAGAGUGGUUUACGGGUAUGAACCCGAAUACAAACCCAAACUCGGGAUGUCGGACACUUCCGCGUGUUCGGCCCUGGGAGGAUGUUAAGAUUUGAGUUUUAUACGUAUAUUGUGAUGAAUUUUAAAAGAAAAAUAUGAUUUUUGGAUAUUAGGUUCUGCGAGGAAUUUGUGAAAUUAAUUGGAUUUGUUGUGGAUCGCAUUCAAUAUCCGAAGAAUUAGCUCGAUCCGGGGUUUUACAAUAUGGGAGUGCGAAUAAAAGAAUUAUGGCUCAAGUUAUCUUAGAUUAGGUUUUUAUUUAAUUUAAUGUUCCAUCUUUAUUGUUCCGCUGCGUAUUUAGAAUUGUGAGACUUUAUAAUUUAUGUCAGUCAAUGGAAUAAGAUUGCAUUUAUUUCAGUUGAAUUAAUUUAGAAUUGCAUAAUUGAGGUGUUUUGGUUUAGAUGCCUUGCAUGCUCGUGGGGAGAGUUCCCUACGGGUGUGCGGCGGUUGGCGCGGACCCCCGGCUCGCGAUCUCGGGCCGGGGGCGUGACAUCUACCCUCUCGAGGGGUCAGUGGUUCGUCGUUGCCAGAAAGAAGAAAAAAAAAGAUUCGCUCUCGCUCAACCAUCUUUUUUCCUCGCUGUCAUUCUUCUCAGGGCCUCGCCAGAGUUGUGCUACCACACCCCUACCUCUCCUGACCUCAUCGUUCAUCGAGCCAUCGUUGCCAGCCGAGAUCUCAUCGUGAGAUCAUCGAACUUGGAAACGGGAGCAAAUCCCCUAUUUUUGUGAUCUACCCCUUCUUACUUUGAUAUUUUUUAUGAUGGCCAGUCGGACCUUCGGCCAAGUCUUCAUGGGACUCUCCUUGACCCGCAUGGUGGAACUUCGACCGCCGGCGAGUGAUUUGAGCUGAGUGAGGCUCCGGUUCAUGUUUUAGGCUGACCAUUGUAUUGUUUUUCUAUUCUCUUUCUUCCACGUUGUCAUUACCGCUGUCUCUGCGGCCAUCGCAACCUCACUGGAGGUUGAGCCUGUGGCAGGUGCUAGUUGCCACUGAUGCCGGCUCUCCUCCACCCUAGUUCAAGUUACCAAACCUUCCCUAUUUAGACUUCAUUCACUGCUGACCAACACAGUCGUUGAUGUUGUUGUGGUUGUCACUAGUGGCCAGACAUUAGGCCAACGAUGAUGCAGCCGAUCGCCAGUGUCGCCUCCAUCUAGAUCAACCUCUAACCUCCCUAUUUUGAGAAAGAAGGAAAGAGUUUCCACUUUUCUUUCUCUUUUCUAUCUCUUCCUUUCUCUCUUGUCUUCCUCUCUCUUUUGUUUGCUUCUAAGCGGAUCCAGUAGAGAAUCCUUCUCCCUCUUUUGUUCCUCUCCAUGUUCUUUGGUCAACCUCGUAGACAGUCUUAGAGCACCAUUGUUGUGAUUGCCUUGAGUAGCUAUGCAGCAUGUCAGCCCCCACCGCAGCACUUGCCAAGCACAGUUUAAUUUCAUCAUCAUUAAUCUUUCUUGAGCUAUCUAUACUAUAGUCUGACUCUAGGUUUAUAAUUGGACUAGUGAGAUUACCUAGAUCAGAUCAACCGGAGUCGUCUGAUGUUACUACCUAACUGGCCAUGUCUUUCCUCCACUGCGACCUUCGUCGGUUAUCUAAAAAUAUGACAUGUUACAUUUGCUUUGAUCAGAGACCGAUUUCUUGAUCAGAUGAAUUGGGAUACAUUAUGCUGACCGAAUCUGACUACUCGCCACCGCCACCCGACCGGCCUCAUUUUUCUUCAUAUGCAUAUCUACUUUAUGGUCAGCCUUGGUUAUGUAUGGGGGUGCAGUCAUUCAAACAAGAAGAAGAACAAAAGAAUUUUAUACUCUAGUUCUUCAAUCAAGGUAGAACCCUAAUUUCUUAUUUAUUUAUUUAAUCUCAAAUUAGGUAGGAAAGAAAAAUUAGAUUUAAGAGUAAUUUAGAUAUUAGAGCUCCGAAAUAGGAAACUAACAAUGAUUGAUUUAUUUCUUAUACUAAUGUUUGGUCAAGGACGGGUUGGAUUUAUACUGAUUGAUUGGGGGUGCAGUCAUUCAAACAAGAAGAAGAACAAAAGAAUUUUAUACUCUAGUUCUUCAAUCAAGGUAGAACCCUAAUUUCUUAUUUAUUUAUUUAAUCUCAAAUUAGGUAGGAAAGAAAAAUUAGAUUUAAGAGUAAUUUAGAUAUUAGAGCUCCGAAAUAAGAAACUAACAAUGAUUGAUUUAUUUCUUAUACUAAUGUUUGGUCAAGGACGGGUUGGAUUUAUACUGAUUGAUUGGUUUGUAUCGCUGGGUUUAUAUCGUGAGAUUUGCAUCAACAAAUUUAGUUUUGUAUGAGAUAUGUUUUAUUUGAUUUUCAGAUAUGAACAUAUUUAUGUGUUAUUAUAUAUGGAUAUCAGCUAUUGAAGUUAUAAUUAUAUAAAUUCUAAUUCAUAUUAUUUUGAAAUUAUGAGAAAUACAUUAUUUAAUUAGAGUUGAUUUGACAAGAAUAACGUAUAAAAUCAGAUAGAUAAGAAGCGGUUUGGACUAACUUGUCAUGUGGAUAGCCUUCACGAGGUUAUGUGUGGGACGGCCUCAAUGAGCUUAUGCAUGAGAUGGCCUUCAUAAGCUUAUACGUAGAACAGCUUCCACAAGCUUAUACGUGGGGUAGCCUCCACGAGCUUAUGCAUAAAAACUUUGUUUAUCAGUCAUGGACUCAGACAUGAUCUUGGUGAGUCCAAAGCUGGAAAGUAAAUUAUUAUAGAACCUAGAAUUGAGAUAAUAAGAAAUGGAUGAUAAGACAUAUGAAACCAAUGCUAAAUAAAAUGUUUUGGUUGUUGGUAUUUGUGAUAUAUAUAUAUCCCUUUUGAUAAGCCAAAUAUUUGAUGUAUGUUUAUGCAGAUAUUUGUCAGUUUAAUUGAGUGAUACUGAAUGUUUGAAAAGAGGUACCAUAAUUUAUGUUUUCAUUUUGAUAUCGUUUAUUACUAUUCUCAAAUUAUAAUAUUAUAUUGGUACAGAUGGGCAGAGAAUCUUACUAGGCUGUAAAGCUCACACUAACUUUUUUCUUUUCUUUUUAGAGUUGCAGAAUUCUUAGUACUUGGUUAUGGUUAGGAUCAUGGGUGAAAUGAUAAAUAGGUUGAUACCAGUUAGAUGAUUGAAUUUUGAAAUUGUACAAGUUUAUUACUUGUUAUGAAUCGAGAUCAUUAUUAUUUACUAAUAUUGAGGUUGCAAUGAAUCUUCAAGCUUUACAUGUUCUGAAGAGCCUUGUCCUAAGGAGUAUGCAAGUUGUGUCAUGUGGUCGACCUGGAUGAUAGGUUUGGAGCAUGAUAGAAGUGGUGUCAGAGCAUAGAUUUAAGAUCACUAGGGACUGUGACAAAAGUUGUAUUAGAGCUUAAGGUUAUGAUCACUAGGGAUAUGACAAAAGUAACAGAAUAGAUUCAGAGCCUAGGUUUAAGAUCGCUAGGUAUUGUGAUAACAUUUAUGCAUGGGGUUUGGCAAACGAUGAGUACUGAACGGCUAGAUGAUAUAUGUUUCUAAUUUCAAUAAGUGGGUUGACCUAAGAUGAGUGCAAGAGGUUUUGGCUAUGGAUUAUAGUGUUACAUUAGUAGGUUAAUUAUGCCAUAUGUACUUAUUCAAUCGUCAUUUAAGUGAUUUGGAAUCCCAAACUUGAUGCGGGUGCAAACCAUGAUAACGUUCUUGUUCUAUUAUUAAUUGUUCGGUUGCAAAUUUUGGAUUUAUUAGCAAGAAGUUGUGAGGCAAUAACCUCUAAUGAAACUAUAUGUAGAUCAUGUAUUCUAGUUUAUCGCCUAAGAAAGAGUUUCAUAGUAUUAAAGUGGAAUUUGUAUGUGGAUCUUUCAUAGUACUAAAGUGAACUAAGAAAGAUUUUCAAAAAGGAGUGUUCUUCGUGGUUGAAUCUAUAUGUGGAUUAUAUAGGUAAUUGGCAUUUUUGGAUACUAUAAAUAGGUAUAUUUCUAUUAAUAGAUUUUAUUUUAUUUUAUUUUUAAGGUUAUAGAGCAUUCAUAUUGGUGGAAAACACUAGUAAUUUGAAUUUUUAUGUUUGGAUUGGGCUACUAAAUCUUUUUCAUAAUUAUUGGAGACAAUUGAAUGUGCUAAAGCAACUCAAAUCUAGGUUUAUAAUUCGAUCAAGAAUUUGUCAUUGUUGAUGAAGCCACUAGUAAAAUAUAAUAAUGAGUAUAGACUUUGGUUAUGAGCCGCUUAGAUAAGUUAUUACAUAUAUCAUUGCUACAUUAAUACUAUUAUAACUGUUGAUGGUUGUGCUAUUUGAUGAAUGGUUAGGAGGUUUCAAAGAAACAUGAUUUUUGGUUUCUUAAUGUAUAUCAUGAUCAAUGUUAUGUAUUCUUAAUUUAGAAUGUCCAUUAUCGACUUUGAGUUGGUAAAACAAAAGAUCUUGAUCCUUUCAAAAGGAGAGUAGACAAACACUCAAUCUACAAUUCUUCUUCUUCUUCUUUCAUCUCUAUCAUCAUGGUCUACAGUUCCAUUGAUUCUUUAUAAAUGUUCAUUCUUCCAAGCAUUCAUUAGUUAUAAUAGUUCUUACAUGUCUUGCUUCAAGCUAAAAUAGGCUUGUUUUAUGUACAAGUCAUGAUUAGACAAAAUUGUUUAGACUCAAUAAAAUAAUGAACUCAUACUUUUGAUUACAAUAUCUAACCAAUUGAACUAAACCUACCAAUAAAGAAGGAUUCUAAAUUUUGAAUUUUUUUUAUGAGUGGAAUGACUUGAUAAAGAUGAUCUCUGUAGACAUAAUAAGUGGUCAGCAAAUUCACUACAUGUGGGGCUCUAUCUAAAUAUGCAUUAUGUUUUGCCUUAUAAUCCAAGUUGAUCAACCCAAGCCCAAGCAUACUUUUGAGGCUCGAUAAACUAUUUUUCGAGUUUAAAAUGGUGAAGGAGAUUUCUUCUUCGUAUUUUUGUUGGUUGGGGGGGGGGGGAGGUUUGUGAUGGUGUGAGGCAACAUGCUUUUGUGGUAAGUUUUAUAAUACAUAGCAAAGCAUGUUGAGAAACAUGUAUAAUUCAUUUGUUUUUGUUGUUGUUGUUUGUGAGGGCAUGCCAUCCACAUUUAGUCAUGCACAACAUGCAUAAUUCAUAUGACUCGGUGUGCAUGGAUCUUAGAAAGCAUCAAAAGAGCAAUUAUUUUAUGUAUGGGAAAUGCCUCAUUCACCCACCAAGUCAUUACAAUAACCCGAUGUCGUGCUUUACUAAUCCAACACUUUUGACUUGCAUGAAACUAGUACUCUUGCAAUACCAAAGCAUGCAAUGUUGUCAUGCCAAUAUACAUGACCUUGAUGUUCACAACUUUUUGCCAAACUUGGUGUCGCAGAUAAUAGUCAUUGGCUUUACAACCAAAUGCAAUUCAAUAACACAACUACAAAUACUUACAAUCCAAUAGAACAUAAUGGAUUGCCAAACCAAGUGACAACAUGAGUCCUCUAUUCCUUCUUCUAAUCUAAUGUUGAAACCCUAAUCAUCUCAGAGUCCCAUCUAAACUCCUGCAAGACCCAGCCCAAAUGGAAAAGGACAAGGAGGCCUGCAUCUCCAUUCCAGUGGCCUCUAUUCUCUACCAUUUUGCUCUGGGCCCCACCUCUUUGGUAAAGUAAGGAUUUUUUUUUUGGUGAAAAAUUAAGGUAAGCCUGCCGCCGGGAUGCUCUAUAAAGGAAACCGGAUUCCCUCUUUCCGCUCCCCACCUCUUCAUCUCCGAGCGCUGGAGAAAUAGAGGGGGAGGAUCGGGGAAUCCCUAACCCUAACCCCUUUUUUUAACUCCCCAUCCUCUCUCUUCGAUUCGAUUCCACCCCUUAAAUCUGUCCAUCGCUUUGAGUUCUCUACGGAUCCUUCCCCGGUUGAUCCAUCCAGGUCCCUCUGCCGUUCGAUUUGGGGUUCUCUCGAUCGUAGAAGCUGUCGUUUCUUCGUUCUCUUCUCGAUUUUCCCGAUUGGAGUGGUUGUUCGGGGGAUCCUCGGAUGCGCCGCGGCUUCGGGCGAUUCUGCUCUGGCGAUGACGGUCUAGUGAGCUCGGAUCCAAUCUCUCCUCCUUCGGCUGAAUCCCUUUGAUCGAAGGGGUUUUUCUUUUCGCGGAAGCCUCUCUCCUCUUGUAGCGGCUGGGGGCGUUCGGCGAUCUUGGGGAUUUAUCUGCGGAUCGUGGCUCUUUGCUGUUGGGAUCGCUGUUCUAUUCGUUCGGAACGUAAAGGGGUCGGCGGAGAACUCAUCUCGAGCUCUUCCUCUUUUCCCUUCCGGAAAGAUCGUUUCUUGAUGGGAUAAUUGGGCGUUAUCGACAUCAAGGAUUGCUUGUAUCAGGCCUUAAUAUCAGGCCUGCUUUUUAAUUUUCGGCCUUUUAAAUUCAGUUUGCUGCUUUUUUCCGGGCAAUUUGUUCAUUGUGGUCGAGCUGGUCUGCAAUUAGAUCAGAGGAAGGCCGGAAAGGGAAAAAAAAAUAAUGGCUGUGUAUUAUAAGUUUAAAAGUGCAAAAUAUUACGAAUCUAUUCUAAUUGAGGGUCAAUUCAUAUCUGUUGCCAAUUUGAAAGAACGAAUUUUUGAAUCCAAGCAUUUGGGAAGGGGUACCGAUUUUGACCUCAUGGUCUCCAAUGCGCAGACUAAUGAAGGUUGGUUCUUCUUCUAGACUAGGUUCUCUUGAUUGGUUUAUUCAUGCAGUUUACUUGUAGGAGGAUAGUUUAGUUCAUUCAGAAUUAAUUGUCAUUAGACUAAAAACUAAUAAAAAAAGGAUUGAUUGGAGUAUUUUUAGAUAAUUGUGCUUGAAAAAUUAAGAGAUAAGGGGUAAUGGAGUUGGGGUGAGAUUGUGGCUACUGUUCGAUUGAUAGUGUGUCUGUUGAGUUACUUUGCUGGGAGCACUGUGGGUUGCUCUAAUCUCACUCUGGAUUUUUAUAGACUCUGUGUUCUUCCAUUUUCGGUUUCAGAAUAUGCAGACGAAGCUGCUAUGAUACCCAAAAAUACAUCAGUAUUGAUUUGUCGCAUCCCAGGACGGCCAUGGAAGCCCAUUGUUACGGAACGAGAUGAGACAAAAGUUGUAGAGGAUAAGUUAGAAGAUCUUCCACCAGCAAGUAACACUUUGGUUGGCGACCCAUCUACCAUGAAAUAUCCUGAAGAAUCUGAAUGGGAUGAGUUUGGUAAUGAUUUGUAUGCUAUUCCAGAAGUCCUUCCUGCUCAGUCAAGCUGUUCAGUGGUAGAUGUUUCUCCUGCAAAUAAGGUUGAUGAGGAUAGCAAGAUUAAGGCUUUAAUUGACACACCUGCCCUUGACUGGAAUCAGUGAGACAUUUAAUUGGAUCAUUGAUAUUUCUUAUAUUUCAGUGGUUUUAUUUUUUAGAAAUUAAAAAGUUUAGAGAAGUUCGAGAGAAUGGAGUAGCAAUAGCAGUCACAUUUUGUUUACCAAUGAGGAAUCAUUUAUAACAUAAUGUUUUUCACUGGGUCAAUGUAACUUUGCACUCAAACACAAGAAGGUUAUGGUGCUGGAAGAGGCUUUGGUAGGGGAAUGGGUGGGAGGAUGAUGGCUGGUCGUGGUUUUGGCCGAGGUGGGCUGGAGCGAAGGACACCUCCAGCAGGCUAUGUUUGUCAUAGAUGCAAAGUGCCAGGUAAUUUUAUCCAGCACUGCCCCACAAAUGGUGAUCCAAGUUAUGAUGUUAAAAGGGUGAGACCCCCAACUGGCAUUCCUAAAUCAAUGUUAAUGGCAACUCCUGAUGGUUCCUAUGCAUUGCCUGGUGGUGCUGUUGCUGUUCUUAAGCCAAAUGAGGAUCUGUCCGAUUUAGGCAUCGUGGGUAUGAACCAGGGGCAUGGAUAUUUGACCAGGUAAGAAUUUGAGGCUAAGAAAGCUGAUCUAAGAUGGAAGCGUGAAAUGGGCCAACUCAAUGAAAGAAAUUCACUAAUUUCCGUCUCCACAUAAGAGACUUAGGCAGAAGGGUUUUUGCCCUCUUCCUUCUGAAGGUCCUUCAUCGGUUGAAGAAAUCCGGGUCCGGCUGCUGGCAAUGGAAAACGGAGAAGACAGAGACAAGUUAUUAGAGCUUUACGAGAUCCUUCACCUUCAUCUGGCGAAUGUCCGGCUGGUAGAUGCUGACAAAAUCUAUGAGGCGUUCCUCUACAAGAAAAAUAGAGCAGAAACAGUAAUUAUCUGUUUCUGCUCUGUUUUUCUUAUAGAGGAAUGCCUCAUAGAUUUUGUCAGCAUCUACCAGCCGGACAUUCGCCAGAUGAAGGUGAAGGAUCUUGUAAAGCUCUAAUAAUUUGUCUCUAUCUUCUCCGUUUUCCAUUGUCAGCAGUCGCAUCCGGAUUUCUUCAACCGAUGAAGGACCUUCAUGUUCAAAGAGCAGAAGUACAAUUGAAGCGAACGCGAGACGAUGGGCGGAGACGCGUGAUGGCUCGGAUCACACGCGGACGAAGGAUGGAGAGCCAGAGGGGCUUCGGAGUGGUCAUGGGGAAAUGGGAGCGAUGUGUGAUGGCCCGUAGUCCGCGUCGACGUGGGGGAAAAGGGCACUGAUGGAUUCCGAAGCAGAGGGGGGACGUGAUAGGGUGUGAUGGACGAUGGCUCGCCUUGUACGGGAGUAAUUAAGUGGAAGGGGGAGUGAGGGGAGUUUUUGUCUUUGUUCUGUUGGUUAACUUGUAUUGGGUUUCUCUCACCCGAAGAGGGAACUGUAUCUUUGCUAUUUUGCAUGGCUUCUCUUCUCUUUGGGAAGAGCCACUGAAUAUCAUUUCCUUUCCCCUAUCUUUGUUGGUUUCUUCUCUGGUUGGGACCUACCACCCUUUUCUUGACAUUUUUAAUAAUGAGUUAAAACUGCAAGAGCUUCAGAGUUCA